CCGGAAGAUUUAGUGGCGAACGGGUGAGGAUCACGUGAGAAACCUGCCCCAGACUUUGGGAUAACAGUUGGAAACGACUGCUAAUACCGAAUGCCGUUACGAGGUGGCAUCACUUUGUAACGAAAGAAUUUCGGUUCGGGAGAAUCUCGCGACCUAUCAGCUUGUUGGUGAGGUAACGGCUCACCAAGGCUACGACGGGUAGCUGGUCUGAGAGGAUGAUCAGCCACACUGGGACUGAGACACGGCCCAGACUCC
rnacentral:rRNA from 1 species